UACGUAGGUGGCAAGCGUUGUCCGGAAUUAUUGGGCGUAAAGCGCGCGCAGGCGGUCUCUUAAGUCUGAUGUGAAAGCCCCCGGCUCAACCGGGGAGGGUCAUUGGAAACUGGGAGACUUGAGUACAGAAGAGGAGAGUGGAAUUCCACGUGUAGCGGUGAAAUGCGUAGAUAUGUGGAGGAACACCAGUGGCGAAGGCGGCUCGCUGGUCCGUUUCUGACGCUGAGGCGCGAAAGCGUGGGGAGCGAACCGG
rnacentral:misc_RNA from 1 species